CUGCUCACUUCAGCAGCACAUAUACUAAUAUUGGAAAGAUACAGAGAAGAUUAGUAUGACCCCUGCACAAGGCUGACAUGCAAAUUCAUGAACUGUUCCAUAUUUUU